UACGUAGGGUGCGAGCGUUGUCCGGAAUCACUGGGCGUAAAGCGCACGUAGGCGGAUCUUUAAGUCAGGGGUGAAAUCCCAAGGCUCAACCUUGGAACUGCCUUUGAUACUGGGGAUCUCGAGUCCGGAAGAGGUUGGUGGAACUGCGAGUGUAGAGGUGAAAUUCGUAGAUAUUCGCAAGAACACCAGUGGCGAAGGCGGCCAACUGGUCCGGUACUGACGCUGAGGUGCGAAAGCGUGGGGAGCAAACAGG
rnacentral:rRNA from 1 species